rnacentral:rRNA from 11 species
ACACGGACCAAGGAGUCUAACAUCUACGCGAGUGUUCGGGUGUCAAACCCGUGCGCGCAGUGAAAGCGAACGGAGGUGGGAGCCCCCUUGCGGGGCGCACCAUCGACCGAUCCUGAUGUCUUCGGAUGGAUUUGAGUAAGAGCGUAGCUGUGGGGACCCGAAAGAUGGUGAACUAUGCCUGAAUAGGGCGAAGCCAGAGGAAACUCUGGUGGAGGCUCGCAGCGGUUCUGACGUGCAAAUCGAUCGUCAAAUUUGGGUAUAGGGGCGAAAGACUAAUCGAACCGUCUAGUAGCUGGUUCCCUCCGAAGUUUCCCUCAGGA